GCAAAGGGAGGAAAGUCCGGGCUCCAUAGGGCAAAGUGCCAGGUAACGCCUGGGAGAUGAAAGUCUACGGAAAGUGCCACAGAAAAUAUACCGCCACCAGGUUAAUCUUGGUGGUAAGGGUGAAAUGGUGCGGUAAGAGCGCACCGCGCGAUUGGUAACAGUCGUGGCAGGGAAAACCCCACUUGGAGCAAGACCAAAUAGGAAUCCACUUGACUUCGGUCAUAGCGCAUGGCCCAUGCGGGAUUCGGGUAGGUUGCUUGAGGCAAACGGUGACGUUUGUCCCAGAUGAAUGAUUGUCCGCG
rnacentral:RNase_P_RNA from 1 species